UACGGGGGGGCAAGCGUUGUUCGGAAUUACUGGGCGUAAAGGGCUCGUAGGUGGCCAACUAAGUCAGACGUGAAAUCCCUCGGCUUAACCGGGGAACUGCGUCUGAUACUGGAUGGCUUGAGAUUGGGAGAGGGAUGCGGAAUUCCAGGUGUAGCGGUGAAAUGCGUAGAUAUCUGGAGGAACACCGGUGGCGAAGGCGGCAUCCUGGACCGACACUGACACUGAGGAGCGAAAGCCAGGGGAGCAAACGGG
rnacentral:rRNA from 1 species